rnacentral:rRNA from 2 species
AAAGGUAGCAUAAUCAAUUGGCUUAUAAUUGAAGUCUAGUAUGAAUGGGAAUCCGGGGAAUAGCUCUCUCAAUUAAGAUUAUACAAUUUACUUAAUGAGUGAAAAGACUCAUAAUAAGAAGAAAGACGAGAAGACCCUAGAAAUUUUGUUAUAUUGUACUGUAAUAUUAUUUUGUUGGGGCGACAUAGUAACAAAUAACUUACUAUACAAUACAAGUUACUAAUAAGUUGUGAGAAUAAAUUACUCUAGGGAUAACAGCAUUAUUCAUAUAUGAGUUUAUGACCUCGAUGUUGGACUAGGAAAUAAUUUCUUUAAAAGAUAAAUUACCGGGCUCUGUUCGAGCUUAAAAAUCCUACAU